UCUUGUUUCAUAAAAAAGAAAAUUCAGCAGAAGGGAGUGAUUUCCUGCGGUCAGGUAUUAAACUGGUGGGAUUGCCAACUUCGGGACUCUUAUGUCCUGUUUUCCCUGAAUGUGCUUCUUUGUAAGCUGGUCCGUUUCAGGAUGUGUUCACAGAGGUAGGAGUGAUGUGUGGCAGGACGCAGGUGGCGUGAUGAACAUGUAAGAGGCACUGGGCACCACCUGGAGCCAAGCAAGGUGCAGGAGGCAUCUGAAUGGAAGCCGCGGAAGCAGGGCAGACUCCCAAGAGAUGUCCUUCACCCGCAUGGGAUGUGAGGCUGGCAGAGAGGUGGUUGAAUGAAGGUCGCUGAGCCAGAAGCAAGACUCUAUGGUCAGGAAGUGGAAGCAGGCUGUAAACCAGUUUGGCUGGAAGCUGUCAGUGAGCAGAGAGAGAUGGGGAGCUGCAGCUGCUGGGUCCCCCAGAAAGCUUCAGCACAUUGAGAACCCCGCUCCCAACACACAAGCCCACAGGGCACACGAAAGCCAUCUUCACACUGCCACACACGUGCAGACCGAAGAGCGCUCAAGCACAAGGGCACACGUGAGUGCACUGCCACAAGGGAAAUCCUCAUGACCCACUCAGGCGGGCACGAAGCUCACUGCCAGCCCCACAGACAGCCCCUCCGGCCCUCUUCUCAGGCAAACCAACAGUUUCUGGUAUCUGGUGUCUUCUGUUCCACACUGACGUCCAGGGACCUCAACCCUGUGGUUGCAAUGGAAUGAAUCACUAUGGUAAUCUCAUUACGUGUCACAUGUGCUUUCUCAAUAAAAAACGAAACUCGGGC